GGGGUGACUAGUGACAGAGUGAGGAAGAGGGUGACACAGUGACAGAGUGAGAGAGGGGGUGACUAGUGACAGAGUGAAGGAGGUGGUGACUGUCACUAGUCACCCCAUCCCUCCCUCUGUCACUAAUCACCACCUCCCUCACUCUGUCACUAGUCACCCCUUCCCUCCCUCACUCUGUCACUAGUCACCCCCUCCCUCUCUCUGUCACUAGUCACCCCCUCCCUCUCUCUGUCACUAGUCACCCUCUUCCUCACUGUCACUAGUCACCCCC
rnacentral:sRNA from 1 species